GUGGGGAAUAUUGCACAAUGGGCGCAAGCCUGAUGCAGCCAUGCCGCGUGAGUGAUGAAGGCCUUAGGGUUGUAAAACUCUUUCGCCAGGGAAGAUAAUGACGGUACCUGGUAAAGAAGCCCCGGCCAACUCCGUGCCAGCAGCCGCGGUAAUACGGAGGGGGCUAGCGUUGUUCGGAAUUACUGGGCGUAAAGCGCGCGUAGGCGGGCUGGUCAGUUGGGGGUGAAAUCCCGGGGCUUAACCUCGGAACUGCCCUCAAUACUGCCAGUCUUGAGUUCGAGAGAGGUGAGUGGAAUUCCUAGUGUAGAGGUGAAAUUCGUAGAUAUUAGGAAGAACACCAGUGGCGAAGGCGGCUCACUGGCUCGAUACUGACGCUGAGGCGCGAAAGCGUGGGGAGCAAACAGG
rnacentral:rRNA from 1 species